UACGUAGGGUGCAAGCGUUGUCCGGAAUUAUUGGGCGUAAAGAGCUCGUAGGCGGUCUGUCGCGUCGGAUGUGAAAACCCAGGGCUCAACCCUGGGCCUGCAUUCGAUACGGGCAGACUAGAGUUCGGUAGGGGAGACUGGAAUUCCUGGUGUAGCGUUGAAAUGCGCAGAUAUCAGGAGGAACACCGGUGGCGAAGGCAGCCCCCUGGGUCAAGAUUGACGCUCAUGCACGAAAGCGUGGGGAGCAAACAGG
rnacentral:rRNA from 1 species